CGGGGUAUAGCUCAGUUUGGUAGAGUGCAUGACUGGGGGUCAUGAGGCCGCAGGUUCAAGUCCUGUUGCUCCGACCA
rnacentral:tRNA from 1 species